GUUUUGCGUUAGGGAUUGAAACGGCAUCCUUUAUACCGAUUUUUUUUCGGUAUAAAGAUAUAGUGUAAAGCCCGCCCGAAC
rnacentral:sRNA from 1 species